CUCAGAUCCCAGCCCGACCUGGCAGGGUCCCCAGGAGGGUGUAUGCAAGCAGAGCUCCCUGAAACCCUGGUUCCAGGGUGUGUCUGCAGGGGUAGCAAGUGAUGAGACAGGUGAAUCAUUCACCUGCUUAAAAUGCAAAGAGUCCCAUUUUCUGGCUCAGCGUUUCCCACUGUGACUGAGGAGUAGUAAUUGUGUGCGGAUGCCAGAAUACAUUACAUGGACAAAAGGUAAACCUACUGUCUGCUGACUGAGCUCCUGGUCAUUCUUCAAGGCCA